AGAACUUAGCAGAGAUGCUUUGGUGCCUUCGGGAACUCUGAGACAGGUGCUGCAUGGCUGUCGUCAGCUCGUGUUGUGAAAUGUUGGGUUAAGUCCCGCAACGAGCGCAACCCUUAUCCUUUGUUGCCAGCGGUCCGGCCGGGAACUCAAAGGAGACUGCCAGUGAUAAACUGGAGGAAGGUGGGAUGACGUCAAGUCAUCAUGGCCCUUACGAGUAGGGCUACACACGUGCUACAAUGGCGCAUACAAAGAGAAGCGACCUCGCGAGAGCAAGCGGACCUCAUAAAGUGCGUCGUAGUCCGGAUUGGAGUCUGCAACUCGACUCCAUGAAGUCGGAAUCGCUAGUAAUCGUAGAUCAGAAUGCUACGGUGAAUACGUUCCCGGGCCUUGUACACACCGCCCGUCACACCAUGGGAGUGGGUUGCAAAAGAAGUAGGUAGCUUAACCUUCGGGAGGGCGCUUACCACUUUGUGAUUCAUGACUGGGGUGAAGUCGUAACAAGGUAAGCGUAGCGAG
rnacentral:rRNA from 1 species